CUCUUGAUUUAAAAAAAAAAAGUGCAACCAGAUUGGAUGAAGUUGGUUGGGACUUUGCUUCCAAGAUGGGAAUCCUUUAGCCACUUUCCAGAACUCCCAAGACUCUCCAACCUGGUGCUGGAAAAGGG